GCCGAAGUGGUGGAAUUGGUAGACACGCUAUCUUGAGGGGGUAGUGCCUUCGUGGCGUGCCGGUUCGAGUCCGGCCUUCGGCACCA
rnacentral:tRNA from 1 species